rnacentral:rRNA from 1 species
AUGCCCCUCUCUACAUUGGCAUCUAUACAGCCAAAUCAAGGACUUAAACUCCUGGAACGGCUCCUCCUAUCCCCUGCUCCUCUUGCAUUGGCGCAAGUCCGCCUCCUCCCCCGCGUCCAUCUCCACGCGUGCAGCAGCCACCCGGGAGGAGCUCGAGCCGCAGCGGUGGUCCAUGGCGCCUUCGCUGUCAUCCCCAGCUGGAGAAGCAUGAACCGCAGAGACGGACGGAUCUGUCCGGCCCUCGCGCCGUUGUUCGUCCACUCUCAAGGACUUAAGAGAGAUGCUGAUACUAUGAGCCAGAUGGUCGAAGACAUCCCGAUGAAGCAGCACAUGCUUGUACCUUCUUUCGUUGGUGGCGGGAGAAAGAGGAUCCACCCGCUCCCUUAUGCUGAUUCGAGCCUUCCUUAGCUGUACUGGAAUACAAAGGUUCUCGUGUCUCGCGUGUGGCAGUACCGAGGAGGGACUGACGAUGGUCAGCUUGUGCAUACUGGCAUUGUGGUGCUUGACCAAGAGGGCACCCACAUGUAUGGCCAGAUUCCUGCUAACAGCUCAGGCACGGCGGUGCCCAUUCUUGCCUCUUUCCCUACGGGAUCAGCUACACUUGUCGUGCUGCCUCUUGAUGAGAUGAACACUCCUAUAUCUGCAUUCAAAGGAAAAGGGCAGGCUAUUAUGCCUAAAACACCCAGCAAAUCAGCAUGCCCAAAAAGUGCUCGCCGCAAACUUUUUACUGAGCCCUCAAAGCCCGAGGACACUGAACUCUCUGCCUCUGCUGCCAAGGUGGCUAGCCAGGCUGAACAAGGUGCUCCUGCUGGAAAUGUUGUUGAAGCUACAUCUGUGCCAAAUGUCGGUCAAGAAACUGAGCUUAUAGCUACCGAAGAUCCAAAGAACAACCUUCCUGACCACACUAAAGUCAAGAGGGUAUCUUCUAUGUUCUGCUUGCUGAAGAGAGCUUCUCAGCUCUGCUGCGUCACAGCAAUGGUCUGGCCAUCGGGUCUAAAGAUCGUCAACUCUGCACACUUUUGGGCGUGCACCAGUCAAAGGCUUGGCUGCUCACUGUUCUUGAUGCACGCUACAUUUAUACCUUCUGACAGCCCUCUGGGUCUAUCUCCUGAAACCAUCCUCAUGGAGUUGGUUGAACUGUCCACCACAUCUUUGGCUGAAGCAAUGUUUGAGAAGCUUGGGCUCCCUAAACCAAUCUACCAUGUGCAUUGGCUUGGGCAAGGUGGAUGUAAAGCAAAAAUUGAAUUCCAUCGUACGAAAGAACGUUUCCAUGCUUCAGCAUGCCAGGCUAAACUGAAAACUCGUGUAUGCGAGGAUGAGGAGACAUCAAUGAAUCUUGCAGCCGAUCUGGCCAUUGAAUACAUGGAAAACAAAGAGAACAAAGUACUUGUUGAUUACAAUUAUUACCUACUGGAGCAAAAUAAAAAGACAUGUGCAAGAGUAUCAGACAAGCUGCUAGAAAAAUCAGAAGAGAUCAACCAACGCAGCAACAAAAUCAAACAGAUAACUAAAGAGGCAUGCAACUAUGUGGAUGAAGUGCGAGCUGCGUCAAAUAAAAUUCAUGGUCUUACUGGUGUUGCCUUGGACCCAACUACCUCAAUGUCCGUCUCUAAUCCGAGGCAGGCUCUCCUGGAGAUUCAUGAUGCAUUAAUUGCACUGCAAAACACUACAACCACAACAUCUCAGUUCCUGGAGGAAGAAGGCAUGUACUCUAAUGAGGACGUGGCUGAUCCAGUAUACACUGGGCAUUCUAAUGAAGAUUCUGUUGAAGAUUGCCAUCUAGACAUGAACGACGACUACACUCAUUAUAUGCGAUCUCCAUGA